rnacentral:rRNA from 1 species
GAGUUUGAUCCUGGCUCAGGAUGAACGCUAGCGGCAGGCCUAACACAUGCAAGUCGAGGGGCAGCACGGGUAGCAAUACCUGGUGGCGACCGGCGCACGGGUGCGUAACGCGUAUGGAACCUACCCUCCGCAGGGGAAUAGCCCGCCGAAAGGCGGAUUAAUGCCCCAUGGCUCCCGAUCCCCGCAUGGGGUAUCGGGAUAAAGCUCAGGCGGCGGAGGAUGGCCAUGCGUGCCAUUAGCUAGUCGGCGGGGUAACGGCCCACCGAGGCGAUGAUGGCUAGGGGGUCUGAGAGGAUGGUCCCCCACACUGGUACUGAGACACGGACCAGACUCCUACGGGAGGCAGCAGUGAGGAAUAUUGGUCAAUGGGCGCAAGCCUGAACCAGCCAUGCCGCGUGCAGGAAGACGGCCCUAUGGGUUGUAAACUGCUUUUACACGGGAAGAAUGGCCCCCUCGUGAGGGGGUUUGACGGUACCGUGCGAAUAAGGAUCGGCUAACUCCGUGCCAGCAGCCGCGGUAAUACGGAGGAUCCAAGCGUUAUCCGGAUUUACUGGGUUUAAAGGGUGCGUAGGCGGGCGCUUAAGUCAGCGGUGAAAGGCAGCGGCUCAACCGUUGAAUUGCCGUUGAAACUGGGCGCCUUGGAUUCGGUCGAGGCCGGCGGAAUGCGUGGUGUACGGUGAAAUGCUUAGAUAUCACGCGGAACGUCGAUUGCGAAGGCAGCUGGCCAGACCGAGAUCGACGCUGAGGCACGAAAGCGUGGGGAUCAACAGGAUUAGAUACCUGGUAGUCACGCCGUAACGAUGAUUACUAGCUGUUGCGAUACACAGUAGCGGCACAGCGAAGCGUUAGUAU